UCCUACGGGGGGCAGCAGUGAGGGAUAUUGCACAAUGGGCGCAAGCCUGAUGCAGCGACGCCGCGUGGAUGAAGAAGGCUUUCGGGUCGUAAAAUCCUUUUGCGCGUGACGAGAUAGGACGGUAGCGCGCGAAUAAGUCUCGGCUAACUACGUGCCAGCAGCCGCGGUAAAACGUAGGAGACGAACGUUAUCCGGAGUUACUGGGCGUAAAGGGCGUGCAGGCGGUUGGAUAAGUCUGGCGUGAAAUUUUCCGGCUUAACCGGGGGAUGUCGUCGGAGACUGUCUGACUAGAGGGUGAUAGAGGCGUGUGGAAUUCCGGGUGUAGUGGUGAAAUGCGUAGAGAUCCGGAGGAACACCAGUGGCGAAGGCGACACGCUGGGUCACACCUGACGCUAAGACGCGACAGCAUGGGGAGCAAACGGGAUUAGAUACCCUGGUAGC
rnacentral:rRNA from 1 species